UACGUAGGGUGCGAGCGUUGUCCGGAAUUAUUGGGCGUAAAGAGCUUGUAGGCGAUUUGUCGCGUCUGCUGUGAAAAUCCGGGGCUCAACCCCGGACUUGCAGUGGGUACGGGCAGGCUAGAGUGUGGUAGGGGAGACUGGAAUUCCUGGUGUAGCGGUGGAAUGCGCAGAUAUCAGGAGGAACACCGAUGGCGAAGGCAGGCCUCUGGGCCACUACUGACGCUGAGAAGCGAAAGCAUGGGGAGCGAACAGG
rnacentral:rRNA from 1 species